rnacentral:tRNA from 1 species
GCUGACGUAGCUCAAUUGGUAGAGCAGCGCACUUGUAAUGCGCAGGUUGGCGGUUCAAGUCCGCUCGUCAGCUCCG